GAGCGAGUCCCUCCGUCCCCGCGAGUCGGCGCUUUUGGCCCCGCGGGAGGGGCCGGGCUCGGUGAGCGACUGGCGGGGGCUCGGGUCCGAGUCCAGGGGGCGACGUGGGCCGCGGACACCGCCAGCCACGGGCCCUGCGUCCCUCCAGGGAGCCGUGUUUCGGUUCAUGAGGCCUCGGGCUGUGAGCUUAGAUGAGAAAAGCAUCAUUCAAGCUCAGAUUCGUGUUGAAGCCUGCCACAAGGUCCACCUGUUGUUGUGGGUUUUUGGGUGACCAGACCAAGUCUCACUCUGUUGGCCAGGUUGGAGUGCAGUGGCGCGAUCUUGGCUCAUGUCAACCUCCACCUCCCAGACUCAAGCAAAUCUCCUGCCUCAGUUUCCUGAGUAGCUGGGACUACAGGGGUUACCCCCAGCAGUGUGUGAGAAUGAAGAGUGUGGGCCACUGUGUCUCUGUUGACCUGCCAGAUAGGAAAUAGCGCCAGAGUUGCUGCAAUCCACGUCUCCCUGGAAUUCAGGAGCAGCUUGGCUGGAAGGCUCUGGCUGGAAACUUGCAGAAGGCUGUCAGCUGGGUCUGCAUCAUCUGAAGGCUCAACGGGUACCGGGGGCCACUCCAUGGCCUGCGAGUCAGAGCUGGCCGUCGGUGGGAGGCCUCAGUUCCUCUCCACAUAGGCCUCUCCACAGGGCCACUUGAGCGUCUUCCCACCAUGGCAACUGGUGUCCUCUAGAGCAACAUCCAGGAGACCA
rnacentral:lncRNA from 1 species